rnacentral:rRNA from 1 species
AUUGAACGCUGGCGGCAGGCCUAACACAUGCAAGUCGAGCGGAUGAAGGGAGCUUGCUCCUGGAUUCAGCGGCGGACGGGUGAGUAAUGCCUAGGAAUCUGCCUGGUAGUGAGGGAUAACGUCCGGAAACGGGCGCUAAUACCGCAUACGUCCUGAGGGAGAAAGUGGGGGAUCUUCGGACCUCACGCUAUCAGAUGAGCCUAGGUCGGAUUAGCUAGUUGGUGGGGUAAAGGCCUACCAAGGCGACGAUCCGUAACUGGUCUGAGAGGAUGAUCAGUCACACUGGAACUGAGACACGGUCCAGACUCCUACGGGAGGCAGCAGUGGGGAAUAUUGGACAAUGGGCGAAAGCCUGAUCCAGCCAUGCCGCGUGUGUGAAGAAGGUCUUCGGAUUGUAAAGCACUUUAAGUUGGGAGGAAGGGCAGUAAGUUAAUACCUUGCUGUCUUGACGUUACCAACAGAAUAAGCACCGGCUAACUUCGUG